CGGCGGGCGGGCGCGCAUGCGCGGCGCGGCGCCGCUGUCCGUUCAGCACCACGCGGAGCCGGGACCCGCUGCUGCCGGUUGUUUGCAGAUGCAGAAAGAACAUCAGAGACUGUUAGUGUAUUGUAGAGGUGUGUGCUGAGACACAGCUUUACACCAUCAGGAUAUUCAGUGAACUCAGCAACCUAGGUCUACACCAAUGGUUCUUUCAAAGGAUCUGGCUCCAUCUUUUCUCUGGCUGCAGGAUAAGUCUGACAGCCUCCAUCACUCUCAGGGUUGGACUGGAGCACAGCUGGUCUUCUUGGUUGCAUGGGAGAAGGUAUUGAGCUCAUAGGGUAAGCUCUGCUGUCAGUCAGUGCUGAGAUUGCACAGUGUAACCAGACUCCAUUUCUAAGCUGCUGAAACAAGAACACAUGGUGACUUCUGUUCAACUCUUCUCUGUACAUGCCACCUUCCUACUUCUUAUUCAGAAAAUAAUUUGACUAUACAGUCAGGGCUAAAAAAAAAUAAAUAAACAGAUGUAAAGCAAGACCAAGUUCUGCAAGUCAAGGUUGAAAGAGGAUUAUGCAUGGGAAGCUCCCAGCAAAACAGAAAUACAGGGUUGUUCUGCAGCAUCCCACUCACGAAUCCCCUGCAUUCAAGCUUUCAGUGUGCCCUUUGAAUUUAUCUCUACACAUUUCCACGACAGCCAUUUUGCUCAGUUUUCUGGCUAUAUUUGUAAUUACUCCUCUAUAACUGACCUUCAAGGCCUUUUACACAA